GGGAUAGAAUUCCAGGAGUAGCGGUGAAAUGCGUAGAUAUCUGGAGGAAUACCAAAGGCGAAGGCAGUCCCCUGGUCCGAUACUGACACUGAGGUACGAAAGCGUGGGGAGCAAACAGGAUUAGAUACCCUGGUAGUCCACGCCCUAAACGAUGUCGAUUAGCCAUUGGAAGGACCCCUUUUCCUUUCAGUGACGUAGCUAACGCGUUAAAUCGACCGCCUGGGAAGUACGACCGCAAGGUUWAAACUCAAAGGAAUUGACGGGGACCUGAACAAGCGGUGAAUGAUGUGGAUUAAUUCGAUGCUACGCGAAGAACCUUACCUACCUUUGACAUGGCCAAAGUUCUACCGAGAGGCGGAAGUACUCGUAAGAGGAUUGGCGCACAGGUGCUGCAUGGUUGUCGUCAGUUCGUGUCGUGAGAUGUUGGGUUCAGUCCCGCAACGAACGCAACCCUUAUCUUUAAUUGCUCCUAUUUUAACAGGCACUUUAAAGAAACUGCCAAUGAUAAGUUGGAGGAAGGUGGGGAUCACGUCAAGUCCGCAUGGCCUUUAUAGGUAGGGCUUCACACGUCAUACAAUGGUUAGAACAAAGAGCUGCAAAUUCGUAAGAAGGAGCCAAUCUCACAAACCUAACCUCAGUUCGAAUUGCGGUCUGCAACUCGAGCGCAUGAAAGCCGGAAUUGGUUAGUAAUCGUGGAUCAGAAUGCCACGGUGAAUACGUUCUUAGGUCUU
rnacentral:rRNA from 1 species